AGGCGGCGCUUCUUUUUUCUCCCUCGCUAUAUAUUUCAGGAGGGAGGGGAGGUUCGGCCGGCGCCAUUUUGGGAAGGCUGCUGAAGGACGUCGUUGCCAGGGAGGACAACUUCUGUGCCGCCCGGCCGCCAUAUUUAGGAGGGCAAAACGAAGGGCGCCAUUUUGGGAUGCUUUGGCGGUGGAAGGCUGUGAGGGAGGGGAACCUAAGAGGAAGAAGAGAGGCUAGACUUUGUGGAAGUUAUUUUCCUCAGUUAUUUAGAUAAUAAGCCCCAGAAUCAACUUACUAGCCGUGCUGUCUUUUGGGAGAAUCCGGGAGCUGUGGCCUGAAAAGGCACCAUUUCCAAGCCGUGCCAAAAAAAGAAAAAAGGAAAGAUAUAGAAAAGGAGGAACACCAGCCACGGUCUCCUUACACUCCUGUAGAUGACUUUAUUUAUUUGUAUAGAAAUAACGUCCACAGCAGACAGCUCAGAACAGUGUGAAAUAAGACUUUUAAAGAGCCAAAACACUUUAUUUUCAAAAGAAGUUCAAUUUCUCCCAUAUCCACUCUUAAGGAUAGAGACCAGGAGCGACUGGAGUGCUGCUGAACCUUAUUUACCUCAAGUUGCGGGAAGUUUUGUGGGACCGAGAAAAAGCCAGGGGAACCCAGCAUAUUCCAUCUUUUGGCUCUUAGAAGCCAACGCUGUGGUGCAGACCCCUGGUGGGGGAUCUUUAUGACUUCCCUCCUGUGCUAUCCCUGAAUGAAUUUUCCAAAGUUAUGAAUGAAAGGCCAUUUUUUCCUCCUUUGUUACUUAAUUAUCUGUUAGAAUAGUCCUUAAGAGUUAAAAGCUCAGCAAUGUAUCACUGGUCUCCAAAUAUUUACCAAAUAAAGGCCAAAUAUUUACAGCAAAAAAGCAAACAGCUCAAAAGCAAAGAAGGAACCAGUUGUGACUUCUCCGCCUAUUAUAGGUCAAUGGCAAUGUUUUUAUGGGAGUUCUUUGUCUCUUAUACAUACAGUACAGGCGCUUUGCAAGAGAUACAACCAUUCUUGUUUCACAAAUUGUAGCACCUAGAUUGUGAAAUGGCAAAUGGCAGAAGAUCCUCCUUGAGAGAAGAGGUCUGUUUGGAACCUAGAUUUUUCGGGUCUAAGCCCAAGUCUCUCCAAUACAUGCUGGCUCUCAUGUGUUUUUCUUGGGAUUUGGGGAAUUUCUUCAGGCUUGUGAUAUGUCUGAGGAACAAAGGUGUUAUAGAUUACUAUGUGAUCAUACAUUUUUGUAAGAAGAAGCCUCUUGUUUUCUGGCUUGAGGACAUGCAAUACUCACCUUUUAAUGCCGUGCAGUCUGUGAUCUUGAUUGGUAGGGACAGCUUGCUCAUUAGAUGGUACCCAGAUAAAUGACGUUUGUUCACUAAAACUUAGAAAUAAAGUAGGCAUUUCUUGAUGGCCAUUCCUGCACUGUAGCUUCACAACCCUUUUUCCUUUCCUUGAAUUAUGUCUCACAAAAAAGAUUAGACUUUGUGAGUCAUCCUUAAGACUUAGGUGAGAUUUCACACUGCAAAAGCCCCAUACAGAACAGCUCACCUGAAUUCAGUUUACGUCUAAUAAUGGAGGAAGCAAUGGGCCACUGCCAAGCAGUCUCUCCAGAAAGCACUCCGCUCCCAUCGCCUUCUCUUUGAUAAUGAGAGAGACCUUCAGGUGCCUUUUCUGAUGUUAGCUACAGCACUGUGGCAUGUAAAGCGAAGCAGCCUCCAGAGGCAGGAGGGAGGUCCAAGGCUAUUUAGAUAACUGCAGGUCAAAAAACAGCACUCUGAAAUUGUACCUGGGGACUUGCAGGCAGCCGACACAGAUCACAGGAUGUGAAUAGGAGCAAGAGACACAACGUGCUGUUUCUUGCAGACUUCCUUCUGUCAAUAAAUGCCAGAGGAAGAGAAGAUAAGGAAGAAAACUGGCCACAGCAAGUGGCUGAAAUCUGGGGACCUUGUUUGGAUCCAUGGAGAAAGCGAUGCUGCAGGAUCUCCAGCAUGGAGCUGCGCCUCUGUUGCAGAUCCAUGAGAGUUUAUUGUGCCUAUCAAGGUUUCUGGGUCACUCAUCAUACUUUAUGUUGCCAUGCUUGGUUUAUAUCCCAAGCACAAGGGGCAAAUUUGCUCUAUAUCAUAUAUUCCCUUCAUCUUGCCUACUCCAAAUAUCUAUUGGCUUGGGUUCUUGUUGGUCCCCAACUGUUCCAUAAAUUUGGCAUUCAUUGUUCAACGACUGCCAUUUUUACCAGCUUAGCUCCUAGCAUCGCUCGCUGCCCCCUGUGCUUUUGUUAUGAGAGCAGCUUUCACAGAUGCUGCAAUGAUGCCAGAUCAGCAGCGUCCCUGAGAUGCAGAUCCAAAACCUGAGACCAGAGGGCAGGGCCUUGUGAGAUCAUAUGGUGGAUCCGUGUGAUGCCACAGAGGAAGGGUAGGCAGGAUUUGGGAGAGAAGGCUGCACAACACACAUGCAGAUGCCUUUGUGCUGAACCUGUGAGUCCAGGUACUAGGAGGAAAUGGACAGAGAUGGUUGUCCAGGCUUUAAAGCUACCUGGCAAGCCUGGCAGGGAGCCAUCACACAGAAAAUCUGGAGGUGUUCAGAGAAAUCAUGAUACAGAAAGCUGAAGUGAAUGAAUGAUGUUUGCAGCCCAGAGAAACUGCUUUCUGGACUACAGUUCCCUGAAAUGGCCCUACUGUCUCAGAGAUUCUUGAGAGAAUAAUCCAAAAAAGCAACUUUAAAAAGCUUUGCUGAAUCUUUAGAGAAAAUUACGAUCUAGGGAUGGGAAGUUAUCUAUUCAUUAAUCCACUCUGGCCUAAUUUUUCCCCCUUCAAAGCUGAGGCAUUACUAUGUUCAUUCCAGCUGUAGAUCAUUAAUGUGAUGUGUGGACCCUUUCUUUACAACCUUUAAAAGCUGCCCAGUGAACCAGGCAACCAUCAGGAAAAAAAGUUUUAAGGAAAAUUGGAUUGCUUUACCUUAAAAUACAGCUUUGCCACAAGAGAGUGCCAGGAUAUUGAACUAACUUACAAUAACACACUCAUUGUCCAUCCAAACCAACAUCAGCAUGGCACCUUAGUGCCCACAUGGGACUGGCACAGUUUCCAAACUGUUCUACUUUUCGUCUUGUUUGUAAAAGCAUUGGUAGGCAAAGAGCAGUCAGUCGGGCAUUUACAGGUUGGAAGACGUCGGUGCCUUGUGUCUUGGAACCAAACAGUGAACCCACACUGGAGUUCCAGUGGGGACCUGAAUGAUAUUUUUAUAUGUGUAAAUGCCACCAAUGUGUAUCUUUAUUAAAA